GACGACCGCUGGCGGCGUGCUUAACACAUGCAAGUCGAACGAAGUGGCGAACGGGUGAGUAAUACGUGGGUAAACUGCCCUCCUUUUUGGGAUAAGCAUUGGAAACGGGGUCUAAUACCGAAUAAAGGGGGAUGGGCUCGCGGCCUAUAUGGUGGUUGGUGGGGUGAUGGCCUCCCAAGGCGGUGACGGGUAGACGGCCUGAGAGGGUGACCUGCGACAGUGAGACGGAGAUACGUCCCAGACUCCUACGGGAGGCAGCAGUGGCGGAUAUUGCAGAAUGGGCGAAAGACUGAUGCAGCGACGCCGCGUGGGGGAUGAAGGCUUUAGGGUUGUAAACCUAUUUAGCUAUCGAACGGGUAGGUGCAGAAGAAGCACCGGCUAACUACGUGCCAGCAGCCGCGUAAUUC
rnacentral:rRNA from 1 species